rnacentral:misc_RNA from 1 species
GUGACAAGUUAAAACUGAAAGGAUUGAUGCUCCACUAACUCAGUCAAGUGAUAUACCAAGUAUAAUAUGAAAUAUGUAUUGACAUUUGAAUUGAACUUAAUUAGUGGCUAUGAGAUAUUAAGUUUAUAAUUUUAGGUUUGUGAAAUUGAUUUUAUACAAGUGUACUUAUUUAUUAAUUUAUGCUUAAUACAAUAUACUUUAAUUUAAUUUUCCUUUUUUGAAAAUCAAAAGAUAUUGGACUUCUACUUUUCUCUACUUUAGUAACUGCACUAUAAUUUCUCUUAACCUGGUAAAAUGAUUUUUAAAUAGCAUCUACAUCAAGAAAGAGAGGAAGAGGAUAAACGAUGGGUUAAGGUGUAACAUCUCUACUAUACGUAUUCUGUAUGUUCUGUUAC